rnacentral:misc_RNA from 1 species
GAAAUGCGAUAAGUAGUGUGAAUUGCAGAAUUCAGUGAAUCAUCGAAUCUUUGAACGCACAUUGCGCCCUUUGGUAUUCCAAAGGGCAUGCCUGUUCGAGCGUCAUUUGUACCCUCAAGCUCUGCUUGGUGUUGGGCGUCUUUGUCUUCCCAGAAGACUCGCCUUAAAGUCAUUGGCAGCCGGCCUACUGGUUUCGGAGCGCAGCACAAGUCGCGCUCUCUUCCAGCCCAGGUCAGCGUCCACAAAGCCUUUUUUUCAACUUUUGACCUCGGAUCAGGUAGGGAUACCCGCUGAACUUAAGC